AAAAUAAUAAGAAUUUUAAUCUUGGGUUAAUAAAUAGAACUAUCGAGUACUGAUUUUAAGAAAAUUGAAUUUGAAAAACGAUAUAAUAAGAAAGUAACUUCACCUAUUGACUUUUAUGGUUUCAAGCUGAAAUGAAGAAAACUAGAUUUAAAACUGAACAUGGGUUUAAAUCUUCAUGUAGAGAAGGAGAGGAUCCCCUGGAUACUUCAAAGGUGCUGCUAGCUCCUGAACUCAUCAUCUAUGACAAUGCCUGCAAUCUUCAUUGAUACUGCUUAAAUCGUGAUCCACACUUUUUCAAAAAUACACAGUUCAAAGUUGAUGGAUUUCAUUGGGAUAAUCAUUUUGGUUGCAGUGAUAGCUAUGAAAUGAGAAGUUUUCCACAAUACAAAGACCUAAGCAGCCAAGUGGUAGAACAAUUUAAUAGCCA